rnacentral:rRNA from 1 species
CGCCCGUCGCUACUACCGAUUGAACGUUUUAGUGAGGUCCUCGGACUGUGAUCCUGGCUGGUUACUCAGCCUGGGUUGCGGGAAGACGACCAAACUGUAGCGUUUAGAGGAAGUAAAAGUCGUAACAAGGUUUCC